rnacentral:rRNA from 1 species
UACGGAGGAUGCGAGCGUUAUCCGGAUUUAUUGGGUUUAAAGGGUGCGCAGGCGGGGAAUUAAGUCAGUGGUGAAAUCUGGACGCUUAACGUUCAAAUUGCCGUUGAAACUGGUUUUCUUGAGUGUAGAUGAAGUAGGCGGAAUUCGUUGUGUAGCGGUGAAAUGCAUAGAUAUAACGAGGAACUCCAAUUGCGUAGGCAGCUUACUAAACUAUAACUGACGCUCAUGCACGAAAGUGUGGGUAUCCAACAGGAUUAGAUACCCUGGUAGUCCACACAGUAAACGAUGAUUACUAGUUAUUUGUGAUAUACAAUAAGUGACUAAGCGAAAGCGAUAAGUAAUCCACCUGGGGAGUACGUUGGCAACAAUGAA